AGGCGUCCAAAAAAGCAACUACACUCAUCAAAUAAAAGGCAUCAUAUGCGUGAGAAGUGUGAAUAAUCUCGCUAUAAUGCAAAAGAAAUGAAAGAAUCCUAUGGAAGUUAUAUACUAUAUCAAAGAGAGCAAAUCGAUAAGAAAUCAUAAUAUUGUUGCCUUUUUUGGUUGAAGAUCACCUUGCAGUUAACGAAGAUAUGAGAUUUUUCCAUCAAUGCGUUCCUUCGAGUGAUAUCUGAAGCAUACCGGCAGUCCCGUCUCAAUAUUUUUUUGGAACGCCUGCAUACCGGCACCGACAAAGAAAGUGUAUUAUGGAAACUCCUACAAAAUAAGGCCAAGAGCGACAUACCGGCAAACAUGAAGGACACGAGUUCAAACUCCUAUCAUCUGUUAUGAAUCACAUGCUACAGAUAAGUUUUUACUACUCUCAAUAGUCUAAACAUAAAUUAAAGAUUUUAGUUUUCACAAUCAUAAGGAUCUUGAACUUAUAAAGAAAUAUUCCUUAAUAAGAGAUCUCGAUUUCUUGAAAUUCAUAUUAGAAUUUUGCAUGUGUUGUAAUCUUUUUUUCUUUACUUUUAAUUAGGCAAGUCUUUACUUCAUAAUUGAACAUUGAUAAUAUAAGGGUGAUGAAAAUGCCUAAAAAAAAAAAACAAAUUAACCAAU